rnacentral:rRNA from 1 species
AGAGUUUGAUCCUGGCUCAGGACGAACGCUGGCGGCGUGCUUAACACAUGCAAGUCAAGGGGAACCUUCUGCUUCGGCGGGACUAGUACACUGGCGGACGGGUGAGUAACGCGUAGGCAACCUACCUUUGUGCUUGGGAUAAUUCACCGAAAGGUGGGCUAAUACCGAAUACUGUCUGUUGGUCACAUGAUUGACAGAUUAAAGAUGCUGCAAAGUAUCACACCAGGAUGGGCCUGCGUUCCAUUAGCUGGAUGGUGAGGUAACGGCUUACCAUGGCGACGAUGGAUAGCUGAUCUGAGAGGGUGAUCAGCCACACUGGGACUGAGAUACGGCCCAGACUCCUACGGGAGGCAGCAGUGAGGAAUAUUGCGCAAUGGACGAAAGUCUGACGCAGCAACGCCGCGUGGGGGAUGAAGCACUAUGGUGUGUAAACCCCUGUAGUUAGGGAAGAACGGCACAGAUUCGUAAGGGUUUGUGUAUGACGGUACCUAAAAAGUAAGCUCCGGCUAACUCCGUGCCAGCAGCCGCGGUAAUACGGGGGGAGCAAGCGUUGUCCGGAAUUACUGGGCGUAAAGGGCGUGUAGGUGGCUGAAUAAGUCAGAUGUGAAAGCUCCCGGCUUAACCGGGAAAAUGCAUUUGAAACUGUUUAGCUUGAGUGCGAGAGAGGGUAGUGGAAUUCCCAGUGUAGCGGUGAAUGCGUAGAUAUUGGGAAGAACACCAGUAGCGAAGGCGGCUACCUGGCUCGUAACUGACGCUAAUGCGCGAAAGCGUGGGGAUCAAACAGGAUUAGAUACCCUGGUAGUCCACGCUGUAAACGAUGGGCACUAGGUGUCGGUUGGUCAUAGACUGAUCGGUGCCGGAGCAAACGCAUUAAGUGCCCCGCCUGGGGAGUACGAUCGCAAGGUUGAAACUCAAAGGAAUUGACGGGGGCCCGCACAAGCGGUGGAGCAUGUGGUUUAAUUCGAUUCAACGCGAAGAACCUUACCGGGGUUUGACAUCAUAGCGAAAUUUGCAGAGAUGUAAAUGCCUUUCGGGGCGCUAUGACAGGUGCUGCAUGGCUGUCGUCAGCUCGUGUCGUGAGAUGUUGGGUUAAGUCCCGCAACGAGCGCAACCCUUGUCUCUAGUUACCAGCGAGUAAUGCCGGGGACUCUAGAGAGACUGCCGGUGAUAAACUGGAGGAAGGUGGGGAUGACGUCAAGUCCUCAUGGCCCUUACAUCCCGGGCUACACACGUGCUACAAUGGCCGGUACAACGAGUCGCAAUACCGCGAGGUGGAGCCAAUCUCUAAAAACCGGUCUCAGUUCGGAUUGCAGUCUGCAACUCGGCUGCAUGAAGCCGGAAUCGCUAGUAAUCGCGGAUCAGCAUGCCGUGGUGAAUACGUUCCCGGGCCUUGUACACACCGCCCGUCACGCCAUGGGAGUCGGCAGUACCCGAAGCCGGUCCACUAAGGAUCGUCGGAGGUAAGGCUGAUGACUGGGGCGAAGUCGAAACAAGGUA